rnacentral:rRNA from 1 species
AGUGAACGCUGGCGGUAGGCCUAACACAUGCAAGUCGAACGGCAGCACAGUAAGAGCUUGCUCUGACGGGUGGCGAGUGGCGGACGGGUGAGGAAUACAUCGGAAUCUACUUGUUCGUGGGGGAUAACGUAGGGAAACUUACGCUAAUACCGCAUACGACCUACGGGUGAAAGCAGGGGAUCUUCGGACCUUGCGCGAGUGAAUGAGCCGAUGUCGGAUUAGCUAGUUGGCGGGGUAAAGGCCCACCAAGGCGACGAUCCGUAGCUGGUCUGAGAGGAUGAUCAGCCACACUGGAACUGAGACACGGUCCAGACUCCUACGGGAGGCAGCAGUGGGGAAUAUUGGACAAUGGGCGCAAGCCUGAUCCAGCCAUACCGCGUGGGUGAAGAAGGCCUUCGGGUUGUAAAGCCCUUUUGUUGGGAAAGAAAAGCAGCAGGUUAAUACCCCGCUGUUAUGACGGUACCCAAAGAAUAAGCACCGGCUAACUUCGUG